GGGUUGAAAAAAAAUAUGAGUGCUCUCUUUUGUGUGCGGACAAACAGCCGAGCGCGGGGAGGUCGGGGCCGGGGUCAGGCGCUCCGGGCUGCAGCUGCCGCCGUGGGGAGGGGGGCCCCGGGCGGCCCCCCGGAGUCGCGGCCACGGCGGCAUCAGCCUUCCGGCGGCGCGGGCGGCCACUGUCCUCGCGCGACCCCGGCCUGUCGGGAGCGAGACCCGCUCCGCCCCUGGGGCGCCCAGCCCCGAGCAAGGAAGUCACAGUAAAAGAAUCAAAGCUCAUGACGCCCAUCCAGAGUACUCCUGGUGACACUUCCUGACAUAAAGUCAUAAAUGCAGCUGGAAAGAAAAUGUGGAGGACACAGAAAAGUGGAAAUGAAAACUGAAAGGCCCCAGCGGGCCCGCCGGCCCCUCUCCAGGGGAGCCCGAGUCCCUGCCAGCAGCAGUGGCCCAGGAGCCUUCAGAUUCUGUGCCCUGUCCCUUCGCUGUUACCCACAUGUGGACACCAGGAAGUUAGAUUCCUAGAAGCAUCAAUUCCAACCCAACCCAUGUAUGCAUUUUCAGUCUGGCUGGAUUUACACUUCCUUCCACAAGGAUGAGGUUCGUCUCCACAGCCCCUGCCAGCCCUGGGCAUCACCACGUCUGGGUAGUUUCCAUGCGAGGCACGUGCUCAGGGACAGCCUUGUGAGGCCCCACAGGCCACAGUGAUGAGGCAGAGAGGCAGAGAUGAGAAGUGGGCUCAGGGACUCUCUGGGACCUGGGAGGAUGGGCCAGAGCCACAGCCCAUGGCCACACCCUCAGGGCCUGGCAGGCCCACCCUGCAUUCACCUCCCAUGACAUCUUACAGAGUGAAGGGCCUGCCUUUGGGCCAAAAAAGGUGACUGGGAUGUUACGGGCCAGCUUGCUCCAGGCCGUUUGUGAGACAGCCCUCUGCAGGGGCUGCGGCUGAGACACCUGCCCCGGGGCACUUAACCAUCCACCUGCCUCUGCUGUGGUCUCCUUGGCAGAUUCAGCUCUGCCCUCAGAGAGCUGGCGACUUGUGGAAACAGUCAGAUGCCAUUCUGAGCCAAGCCCAGCGGGGCUGCUGCCGGGAGAGACCCAGGCCACUCGGGCAAGAGACCUCCAAACAGUGAAGCCCAUGUGCCCCAAACCACCACUGCUUGGAUAAAGUUCUGAGAGAGAGGGUGCAAACUUGUUUCCAUGGGUGGUGGUGUCGCCAGGUCAGGAGGCAGCCUCCAAGGUGACAAGGGAACUCACAGGGAGAGAGUGAGUUCAGCACGUCAGUUAAAAUCUCCAUUUGCUGGGCCCAUCACCUGCCUCCACGGGGGUCGGGCACCGUCUGCUGAGCUUGGCCACACAGUGCUCUUCCCCCGGCCGCCGCCUCGCCCCCCAGGCCCCCCGGAGCCCCUUGCUCCUCCCACAGCCUACUGAGCUUCCAUCUCAUUGUGCAGCCACUUCUUGUCACCUUGACCACCCUCCCCAUCCCAACACCCAGUCCCUGGAGGCCAAAGAUCAUGUCUUUCCCCAGCUGUGUCUCCACAGCUCAAAACAGCACAUGCUGCAUGGUAGGGAUGUGGUACAUCAGGGGUGGAAGAAGAGAGGCCCUGGGGCAGGGCAUCCAGAGACCUGGGACUGGGUCCUGGGCUGGCCGCUGGCACCGGGAUCUUGUUCCUCAGUUUCUUCAUCUGGGCGAAGGGUAGUUGGGAUAACAGGUGCCAGAGGCCUUUCCAAUUCCAUUGUGUGAGGGCUCUUCAGGCCAGGGCUUGAUGGGAGAGGCCAGGGCAAGCUGAGGCGGCCCCACCUCUGCCCCGUGCGUGAUGAGGGGCAGCCUCCUCCACGGCCUCCCUCUGUGUGCUCAGUGCCUCCAGGCCAGCUCCAGGCCCGUCGGCAUCCCAGGAAGGCAGCAGAGGUGGACGGAGGGCACGAAAGGACACGCUUUCACUGACCACCCAGCCCAGCAAAGCUAGAAUCUGUCAAAAAGUAAAAAUUCCAUUUGUAAACAAGAUCAAAUUAUUUGAUUGUGAAACCAGGGUCCAUGGAAUUUAAAACAAUUUAAUGUGAAACAAUAUAAUUUGAAAUGCUGACCAGCCAAGACCUGGGGGUGGAGGGGCUCAGCCUCCUGUGGCCAGACACAUGGAACCCAGCCUCAAGGAAUAAUAAGUCACUGUUCGACAAGGGUGAAUGGGCAUCAGCUGCGUGGCAACCCCAGGCCAGACCUGGGGCAGCAGGCCCGGCUCCCGUCCUCCUGGGGCUGGCAGUCCUGAUGGGCAAGCAGGACUCUCACAAUCAGAAAAGCAGUGCCAGAGAGCGGGAAGGGCUCCGUGGAGUGGCAUAUGAUCCAAGUGACAAGGGAGGCUCAGAGAGAGCCCCGAGGGGCACCCGGUGGGCAGGACAGCAGAGAAGCAUAUUCAGGGUGGAAAGGGCGGUCAGGUCCCUCCCAGCUGCGGGUGUGCUGCCCUGCGUGAUUCUGGGCCAGCAAAUCACUCGUUAGCCUCAGUGUUGUUAUCCACAGAAUGGGAAACAUCUCAGUCCCGCUCCCCACCUGCAGUGAGGAUGAGAAAUCGUUUCCGGGCAUCCCACCCCACCAAGCUGACGUCACCAGUGGACAAACAAGCAAGCAUGAGUGAUGCAGUGGCCUGGUGAGCAGCUGCUGCGGGCAUGUGGCAGGCAGGUGCCCGGAGGCGCUGCAGUGCGUUCUGUGUCCAGCACCUGCGGGUGCUUUCCAGAGGGACGGCGGAGGCAGGGCCCGGCAGGUCCUGGUGCAGCAGAGCUCUGCUUCCACGUACCCUGCCUCAACGUAAACACAGCUGGUAAUGUUUCAGUACUGUAGGAGCAGGAAUAACAGACCCAGAGAAGCCAGACCAAGAGCUCGCGAAUGCUGACUUUCAUGUCGCACCCAGGCAUCGCAUGUGCAUCUUGGCGCCUGCGGGCCUGUUGCUCGGUGGGGAGGUGGGGGGCUAGUGUGUUUAGGAAACCGAACUACGGGCACAGCAGCGGGAGGAUGUCAGGCCUCACCUCCCUUCAUCCUCCCAAACGCAGCUCCCACCACAGCAAACCUGGAGGCUACCUGGGAUGUGGGGGGGCACCAGGGCCUCUAGGUUUUAAGUGACCUAGGAGACAGUGGGGCAGGGUGGGGACUUCUCAUCAGUGAGGUGCCACCUUAGGCACAUCCCCUAACCUCUGCAUGCAAACAGGCCCUGGAAUACACCCAAGGUCAACUGGCCAGUGAGAAGCUGACCUAGAACUCAAGCCAGGCCCCAGUCUCCCCAUGUCCCUGCUGCCCGCUGCGGAACCUGACCCACUGCCAGACCCGAACCUGCAAACCAACCACCUGUGGGUUCUGGGUAGCACAGAGCCCUUGGAGACCGUGAUGCUGAGAAGCAGUGUUUUUGUUCGCCCCUGAGUCUUGCCAGGUCACAUUGUCAAGGCCAGCACUUUGGAGA